GCCCCUGUUGUCUAAUGGUUAUGACGUCAGACUUCUACACAUUUUCGUUUAUCUGGAGGCUGCGGGUUCGAAUCCCGCCAGGGGUU